rnacentral:rRNA from 1 species
GACGAACGCUGGCGGCGUGCUUAACACAUGCAAGUCGAACGGAAAGGCCCCCAUCUUGGUGGGGGUGCUCGAGUGGCGAACGGGUGAGUAACACGUGGGUGAUCUGCCCUGUACUUCGGGAUAAGCUUGGGAAACUGGGUCUAAUACCGGAUAGGACCAUGGUUUAGUGUCUCAUGGUGGAAAGAUUAUUGUUUUGGCGCAGGAUGAGCUCGCGGCCUAUCAGCUUGUUGGUGGGGUAAUGGCCUACCAAGGCGUCGACGGGUAGCCGGCCUGAGAGGGUGGACGGCCACAUUGGGACUGAGAUACGGCCCAGACUCCUACGGGAGGCAGCAGUGGGGAAUAUUGCACAAUGGGCGCAAGCCUGAUGCAGCGACGCCGCGUGGGGGAUGACGGCCUUCGGGUGGUAAACUCCUUUCGUUAGGGACGAAGCCACGCUUGUGGGGUGUGGUGACGGUACCUUUGUUAAGAAGCACCGGCUAACUACGUG